AACUCACCCAGCGCAUCCGACUGCACGGACAAUGCUGAGGAGACCCCCCUGACUCAAAGGAAAUAGACUGCAGCACUGAUUGGAUGACUUUGGGUAAGUGGUGGGGUACCCAGGUAAAGAAUGGGAUUGGGAUAGACGCUCAAGUUAGGGGAGUUAGAGUCUCUCCUAAGGCAGAGUGGAUUAGAGGCCCCUCUUAAUAAAAGGCAAGGACGCUUGACUGACCUUGGGUUAGAGGCCCAACUUAGGAGGAUUAGAGUCCCUUCUAAGAUUUAGGGGGUUAGAGACCCCUCUCAGUAAAGUCCCUCUUGGCUAAGAAGAGGUUUGGCACCGUGGGAUGUUAACUGCUAUUGUCUUUGGAUUAAUCUGCCUUGCACUCUUUGCUGAUGGCUCCGGGCGACAGGGUUAGGCGUGUACAGGAUCGUGGGACAUGGGGAGCUUUUUCCUCCCCCAAAAGGGGAAACUUGAGAGCUGACGGGACUGCUGGAAAAAAAUCCCUUCACGACAGCAGCCGUAGCCGCCUGAACUUUUCAGUGUCACUGCAAUGGGUGGGUCUUUCUCUGGCCUCCCUGAUCAUUUUGCCUUCCCUGGGAAAGUAUUGCUUGUGGAAAAUAUUUCCUGGGAAAGUAUUGCCUGCGAAAGCAUUUCCAUAUAUAAUUUUUUUUUUUUUUUUGAGACGGAGUCUCGCUCUGUCGCCCAGGCUGGAGUGCAGUGGCGCUAUCUCUGCUCACUGCAAGCUCCACCUCCCGGGUUCAGGCCAUUCUCCUGCCUCAGCCUCCCGAGUAGCUGGGACUACAGGCGCUUGCAACCAUGCCCGGCUAAUUUUUUGUAUUUUUAGUAGAGACGGGGUUUCACCAUCUUAGCCAGGAUGGUCUCGAUCUCCUGACCUUGUGAUCUGCCCGCCUCGGCCUCCUGAAGUGCUGGGAUUACAGGCGUGAGCCACUGCGCCCGGCCCCUUUCUUAUCUUUUCUAUUACUCUAUUACUCAGGGCGACCAUCUUGCCCAGAGACCACAUGUUGAAACUCCAAGUCAGAGGUUGGAUUAAAGAUGACAGGGCCUAUCUGGGGGCAAAUUUAAGCCUUGCCAGUUUAAUAUUGGGUGCUAAGCAGAGUGGCUAAUGUGUAUGUUUCAUCACAUGUGUUUUGCUCUGGUCAGAAUGAAAAAAAGUAGUUUUCCUUUACAAUGAGGCUUGGCCCCCAGGGCGAUGGUGCCACAAGCCAGAUCACUGGGACCACUCAGAGAAAGGGAACACAGAAGCCUGGCAUGCCAGCAAAAAGCAGGGUUUUUGUGAGCAGUGUCUUGCACCAAACUCCUGUCUCCUCCUGUGACUUAGAAUGCCUAACUUCCUGGGAAUGCAGCACAGGUCUCAGCCUCAUUUUGCCCAGCCCCUAUUCAAGACGGAUUUGCUGUGGUUCAAAUGCUUCUGACAAUAUUCCUCAUGGUGAAUGCUGGAUUUUGCAUGCCCGAGGCCCUGGGCCACACUGUAUGUUUGCUUUUUGCAAGGGCUGUAUGGCUAUGACUAGUUAUGUGGACCCUGCAUUCCUAUGUAAAUGACCCUCCAUAAAAACCCCAGAAAUGAAUGCUUGAGUGAACUUCCCUGGCUUGUAUUAUAAUACUGUGAACAUCUUGUCACACAUCUUUGCUGGGGGAAUUAAGUGUGUCCCUAUGUGACCGUAAUGGGAGAUAACACCCAGAGUUUUGUGCCUGCUUUCAUGUGGACUUCAUUCUAUGUGAUUUUUCCCUUUGGUGAUCCUGGUCUAUAUCCUUUUAUUGUAAUAAACUAUAACCAUAACAGCUUUUCUGAGUCUUGUGUGUACUUCUAGCAAAUCAUGAAGCCUGAGGUAAGUAACCUAAAAUAUCAAGAUGAUUAAGGCCAUUCAUCCACGUAUCCAUUUAGCAGAUAUCUGAAUAUCUACUACUGACUAGGAACUAUGUGCAUGGAACAAUUAGGAUAAAAUCCAUAUUAACAUCUGUGCUCUUUUGAAGCUGGAAAUCUAGUUGGUGAGACAGUCAGGAG
rnacentral:lncRNA from 1 species